rfam:Salmo salar isolate Sally breed double haploid chromosome ssa10, whole genome shotgun sequence.
AUUGCACCAAUUUGUAAGUCGCUCUGGAUAAGAGCAUCUGCUAAAUGACAUAAA